rnacentral:tRNA from 2 species
GCCAUAAUCAUAUAGUGGUCAUUAUAUCAGUUUGUGGACCAAAGGAGAAACACUGAAAACCGAGGUUCGAUUCCUCGUUAUGGCA